rnacentral:lncRNA from 1 species
AGUCGCCGCUGAGGGGCCGGCGAUGCGCGAGGAGUUCCGGCGAGGAAGGUCGGUCAGUGGACAUGGCCGAGGCCCGCGGUGUCCGCGUGUGGGAGCUGCAGGGCUGAGGAGAGGCCGCCCGCAACCCUCGGGAAUCGUGUGAGGAACAGAAUUGCCAUUGGGCCCAGGGAGAGACUACACUUCUUGUCUGCUUUGUUGCUAGUGCGGCCUUGUGGCCAAGCACAGAACGUGUGCAGUGAUGAUGGUGCAACUUCUAGGUCGUCCCCAGCAUGGAAAAUGAGCCCUGGGCAUGGAAGAUGAGCCCUGGUCCUGCAGCGGUGCUCUUUCCUCUUCUCACAAGCUGGAAUGUGCAUGUGCUCCCACCCAGCUUUGACCAUGGGGCGAAAACAGUACUCUGCAGUCUGGCAGAGCAACAAGGUGGAAAGGGCCUGGGUCCUUGAGUGACGUCAUGAGCCCUCUCACUGUCCCGACUUUGGGACUGUUAUAUGAUAAGGACUUUCUGUGAGUCACUGUCUUUUAGAGUCUCUCUGUUUUAGCUGCCUGGACUUUAUCCUGAAUAAUAUGGCUGUUAUCAUGGGUAUAGUGUUACUAUGAGCCUCAUCUAAGUAAUUUCUACUCUGCCUUUGACCACUAAACUCAUGUUGGACAAGA